GGGCCCGUAGCUCAGCCAGGAUAGAGCGCCGGCCUCCUAAGCCGGAUGUCGGGGGUUCAAAUCCCCUCGGGCCCGCCA
rnacentral:tRNA from 2 species